AGCACUGUUUCGGCAAGGGGGUCAUCCCGACUUACCAACCCGAUGCAAACUGCGAAUACCGGAGAAUGUUAUCACGGGAGACACACGGCGGGUGCUAACGUCCGUCGUGAAGAGGGAAACAACCCAGACCGCCAGCUAAGGUCCCAAAGUCAUGGUUAAGUGGGAAACGAUGUGGGAAGGCCCAGACAGCCAGGAUGUUGGCUUAGAAGCAGCCAUCAUUUAAAGAAAGCGUAAUAGCUCACUGGUCGAGUCGGCCUGCGCGGAAGAUGUAACGGGGCUAAACCAUGCACCGAAGCUGCGGCAGCGACACUAUGUGUUGUUGGGUAGGGGAGCGUUCUGUAAGCCUGUGAAGGUGGCCUGUGAGGGUUGCUGGAGGUAUCAGAAGUGCGAAUGCUGACAUAAGUAACGAUAAAGCGGGUGAAAAGCCCGCUCGCCGGAAGACCAAGGGUUCCUGUCCAACGUUAAUCGGGGCAGGGUGAGUCGACCCCUAAGGCGAGGCCGAAAGGCGUAGUCGAUGGGAAACAGGUUAAUAUUCCUGUACUUGGUGUUACUGCGAAGGGGGGACGGAGAAGGCUAUGUUGGCCGGGCGACGGUUGUCCCGGUUUAAGCGUGUAGGCUGGUUUUCCAGGCAAAUCCGGAAAACCAAGGCUGAGGCGUGAUGACGAGGCACUACGGUGCUGAAGCGACAAAUGCCCUGCUUCCAGGAAAAGCCUCUAAGCAUCAGGUAACAUCAAAUCGUACCCCAAACCGACACAGGUGGUCAGGUAGAGAAUACCAAGGCGCUUGAGAGAACUCGGGUGAAGGAACUAGGCAAAAUGGUGCCGUAACUUCGGGAGAAGGCACGCUGAUAUGUAGGUGAAGCGACUUGCUCGUGGAGCUGAAAUCAGUCGAAGAUACCAGCUGGCUGCAACUGUUUAUUAAAAACACAGCACUGUGCAAACACGAAAGUGGACGUAUACGGUGUGACGCCUGCCCGGUGCCGGAAG
rnacentral:rRNA from 1 species